UUCAAAGUUCAAAUUGCCACAGGGGAUUGGGGGGGACAGCCCCAAGAGAGUCUGUUGCUCCCACACUUUCACUUUCUACUUCUUAAAAUAACUGCUGGGUUUUACAGAGUUAUUGUAAGAGUCCAAGUUAACAUAUUUGUCUAAGACGCAGACUACAAGCGUGUUGAUAGAAUAGGGCUAGAGGAUGGAGACAUGUUGGUUAGGUGGGUUUGGAGGAGCGGGAAGGGAUGUUGGGGGCCCACUUCUUUUUUGUUUCUUUUUCCUGUUUAUACUGUACAAGUAGAGGUAUGUUAGCUAAACUGUUUAGUACCCAGCCUAUCCAUUUCCUGUCCCUUCCUCUGAUCAAACCAUGAACUCUAAUUGGUUGGUUCGACUUCAUGGACUAAUAAUAACAGAGAAGUUUAACUAUAAAUGUUUGCGCAGCAACAGCAGGACAUCACAUCCACUUCAAUAUUCCAAUCCUGAGAACAGCUGCAGACUGAGCAGAAAGUCAUCACUGCCAUUGAAGAGAUGAAAAGGAGCGAAGAAACAAGUAUACCUGUAAAGGCAUCCAUUGAGAUGAUGUAUGACCACGAGGUAGACAGGGAAGGAGAGUGGCACGGGGAGGCAGGAGUGUAUAAGGGUGAAUUAGACAUCGGUGGCGUGAGGUCGGUGACCAAGUUGGCCAACAUGGGUGUUGGUGGUAUGGCAUCGAAGGAAAAAGGAGUUAGUGGGCACCUUGACUACGAAUUGGGAAAGACUCAUUUAGACCUCGGUGGCGAGUUGAAGGUGGAGGGCAGGUUGCCCAGCGCCGGUGUUGCGGCUGGGAUAACUAAUGAAGGAGUUAAAGCCAUGGCCACAGCUGAGCUCCUAGGUGCCUCUGUGUCCCACGGGAAGGCGACAGCCACAGUGUGUCUGGCAGCUGAUACAGGCUUUGGAGUAGGCAAGGAUGGGAUCGAGGCACAAUUUCUGGGUACAGGAUUCUCUAUUGGGAAGAAAACAUCCAUUUCUCUGUUUGGUUCCAAGUUUGAAUGGGACUUCAGCAAGUGACACACCCCCACUCAGAGCCCAGAGGUCCACUUCUGUGGAGAUGUAUUAAUUCCACCUGUUUAGUUCUCUUAUAGCCUACAGAUAAGGCUUCAGGGCCACAGAUGUGCUUGGCUUCUUUUAAACUUAAUGAAAACAUCUUGAUGUAUUGUUCUUAAUCAAUGGACUGUAUUUACAAUAUAUUCUUAUCAACUGUA